UAGGACGGCCUACCAAGGCGAUGAUGCAUAGCCGAGUUGAGAGACUGAUCGGCCACAUUGGGACUGAGACACGGCCCAAACUCCUACGGGAGGCAGCAGUAGGGAAAUCUUCCACAAUGGACGCAAGUCUGAUGGAGCAACGCCGCGUGAGUGAAGAAGGGUUUCGGCUCGUAAAGCUCUGUUGUUGGUGAAGAAGGACAGGGGUAGUAACUGACCUUUGUUUGACGGUAAUCAAUUAGAAAGUCACGGCUAACUACGUGCCAGCAGCCGCGGGUAAU
rnacentral:rRNA from 1 species